rnacentral:rRNA from 1 species
UAAGGAAUAUUGGUCAAUGGGCGGAAGCCUGAACCAGCCAUGCCGCGUGCAGGAUGACUGCCCUAUGGGUUGUAAACUGCUUUUGUCCAGGAAUAAACCUAGAUACGUGUAUCUAGCUGAAUGUACUGGAAGAAUAAGGAUCGGCUAACUCCGUGCCAGCAGCCGCGGUAAUACGGAGGAUCCGAGCGUUAUCCGGAUUUAUUGGGUUUAAAGGGUGCGUAGGCGGCCUAUUAAGUCAGGGGUGAAAUACGGUGGCUCAACCAUCGCAGUGCCUUUGAUACUGAUGGGCUUGAAUCCAUUUGAAGUGGGCGGAAUAAGACAAGUAGCGGUGAAAUGCAUAGAUAUGUCUUAGAACUCCGAUUGCGAAGGCAGCUCACUAAGCUGGUAUUGACGCUGAUGCACGAAAGCGUGGGGAUCGAACAGGAUUAGAUACCCUGGUAGUCCACGCCCUAAACGAUGAUAACUCGAUGUUGGCGAUAGACAGCCAGCGUCCAAGCGAAAAGCGUUAAGUUAUCCACCUGGGGAGUACGCCCGCAAGGGUGAAAACUUAAAGGAAAUUGACGGGGGUCAUAGCUGUUUCCU